GCCUGGAGCUGAACCGGUCUGGGCUGGGAUCAUGUCAGAUCUCAUGCUAACCAGGAUCAGGGCAGGGUAGUACUUGGAGGGGAGACCAUCAUGCACCCAAGUGCUGCAGAAG
rnacentral:rRNA from 1 species